rnacentral:lncRNA from 1 species
CCCUAUUUAGCAGCGGCGCCAUUCUUCCUCUAAACAAAUCUUCGACCCACUAAUUUCUCCUCCUUCUGCAGAGAUGGCGGCACACACGAACAGGAGCUAAGGUAGCCCCUUUUUUCAUCUUUCCAUCUUGAAUUCGUGGAUAUUUUCCUGCCAAUCCAACCUUGUUUCGUUCACAUCUAGUUGUAUCCCAUCUGAUUUUGCUAACAAAAUUGGAUUCGUUGCUUUUCCCUUCACAAACUGAUGCAGAUCUAUUAUUCUUUCUAUUUUUUCUCCUGCUUCACAGGUCGCAGAUUUGUCUCAGCACUUCGUUUCCCCUUUUCUAUCAGGAGCAAGAGAAACCAAAAGGCUGCAGGUGGGAAGUAAUCCUUCAUUUUCUAUCUCAUUUGUUCCCUUAUUUGAUUCGUACGGGAAAGUGUAGAGAGGUCUCUGUCUUACAUAGUAAGUGAUGGCCUUUUUAGAAGCAUAGGUGGGACAUGGAUGGGUAUAAUUAGUGGAUGAAAUCUCUUGUACUUGUACAAUUUUUUAUGCUAUUCUUCAGCUGCAGUUGUAGAUCAUCGCUGGCUUGCCGUUGUG